rnacentral:rRNA from 1 species
UGGGGAAUAUUGGACAAUGGGCGCAAGCCUGAUCCAGCCAUACCGCGUGGGUGAAGAAGGCCUUCGGGUUGUAAAGCCCUUUUGUUGGGAAAGAAAUCCUGUCGAUUAAUACUCGGUGGGGAUGACGGUACCCAAAGAAUAAGCACCGGCUAACUUCGUGCCAGCAGCCGCGGUAAUACGAAGGGUGCAAGCGUUACUCGGAAUUACUGGGCGUAAAGCGUGCGUAGGUGGUGGUUUAAGUCUGCUGUGAAAGCCCUGGGCUCAACCUGGGAAUUGCAGUGGAUACUGGAUCACUAGAGUGUGGUAGAGGGAUGCGGAAUUUCUGGUGUAGCAGUGAAAUGCGUAGAGAUCAGAAGGAACAUCCGUGGCGAAGGCGGCAUCCUGGGCCAACACUGACACUGAGGCACGAAAGCGUGGGGAGCAAACAGGAUUAGAUACCCUGGUAGUCCACGCCCUAAACGAUGCGAACUGGAUGUUGGGUGCAACUU